CUUCUGUAGAUCAAGAAUUUGGUAACAAUACUAUUAAUAUUAUGAAGAAACAAAGAGAUCAUGAGUUGUCUUUAGACCUUAACAAUAUUCCAAUUCAAGAUGAUCAUCCUGUUGUAUCCUUAAAGCAACAAGAUCAAGAACAAACACAAAGGCAACUUGUUGAUUGUAAUUAUUGACAAUAAUGCAGGUACAUUUUUUUAAUUUUUUUUUUCUUACUUUUUAACCAUACAAUUAUAUGAGUAAAUAUUUUUCUCAUUGUUAUGAUAUACAAAUUCUUUAAUAUUAAUUCAGUGGAUAAUAUAGUAAAAACCACUUAGUAUUUGAUUCAUUUAAAUUCUCAUAGUACUUGAGUUUGCCACAUGAAUCAACAUUAAUAUAUAUGCCGAUGGUCUAUCAAAAUUAUUAUCUCUAUCCCAUAAAGAUAGAGAUAAAGUCUGCAUAUCUUGUUCUUUUCACACUUAUAAAAUUACACUGACUACAUUAUUAUUGUUAAUUAACAUGCAUACAUACCCUUUUGAGGAUUUACAGUCCACUUUAUGACUUAAUUUCUCUCUGUUUCCUUCACCAACGUGAAUAACGAUAAUAGCUUUAGAAUACUUAACUAGCAUGUUGGCCUUUUAAUCAUGUUAGGUCUUUUGGAUUGUACAUCACCUUUUUGUUACUCCCAUUGUUACAUUUUAUGUGAAAAUAUUUGAUUGAAUAUGAAUACGUGUGACAUGCAAGUCACAUACACACUAUAACGUACCAAUAUUCUUUUACAUAAAUAUAUAGAUUAGAAUUUCACGUGUCUUUUCAUUUUAGAAGAGUGGCGAUGAAGUUUUAACAAGUCAUGUUAGACCAGUCAACUUGUGCGUACCUUAAUUAUUCUACCAGAUACCAACAACUACCUCCCGCUAGCAGAAAUAUCAAGUAUUAAGCUUACCAUGUAUUUCUACAAGAAGUUGUUUACACAACUCGAACCAUAACCUCUAAUCACAAGACACCAACUUUAUCAAUUACACCAAACAUUCUUUUUAGUUUAAUUUGCUUCCUUGAUUCAAAACAUUGGACCAAGAAAUUAGUGAAAAUGCAUGCAUAUUAUAUUCCAAGUGGAGAUAUGCUUGUGGAAGACAAGUAACUAGCAUGAAAGAAAUAAUUUAGGUUUGUGUGUUGCACGUAAGGGAAGUUGUUGCAAGAGACAGGCAAAGUUUAGUGAAAAUGCAUGCAUAUUAUAUUCCAAGUGGAGAUAUGCUUGUGGAAGACAAGUAACUAGCAUGAAAGAAAUAAUUUAGGUUUGUGUGUUGCACGUAAGGGAAGUUGUUGCAAGAGACAGGCAAAGUUCAGUUCAUGUCCUAAACUUAUCCCCCUUUUAUCAUAUUCCACUUCUACCAACACCAUAUCUACACAAUCUUUUUUAUUCUCUCAUUAAUUUGAUAACACAUACAAUAAUCACACAGUUCGAUAUGGUAUUAAAACAAAUAAAGAUACUAGAUUCACGUCUCACCAUCAUCAUUGGAAAAAAAAUGUUUUGUCUAAGAAAAAAUUAUUAGACCUGAAUAUAUUAUCAUCUACUAGAUACUAUUCUUCCAUACCCUUAUAAUGUUCUCCAAGUCACUAUUUAUUCUCUUUGAGGAUUCGUUAUAAAGAAGCAAAAUAAGGCAAAAACCAACAUGAAAAUCUGACAAGUUGACUCUUAAAAUUUGAUAGUACAAAAUAAGAACAUAAACAACUAGAGUAACAAAUAUUUGAAUUUAAGACGCUUAUUACAAGAUAAUAAAACAUAAAUAAUCUUUCAGGCAACUUCCCUGUUGAAUAAACAGAGAACUGGGAUUAUUUUAUUUAUUGAUUAUCCAGGGCCAUUUUUCUAAAACUGAACAUAACAAGUUACAGUUCAUGUACCUUGUGUAAUGUUGCUGAACUAUGAAAGUGAUAACUCACGGAUCCUGCCAUCCAGGUUUCCCUUUUAAUGAGCAAACGGACUUUUAUCGAGAUUCAACAAACACAGAAGUUGUUCGGGCUGGCACGUUAAAGCAACCCGAGGUUGCAUCAUAUGUUGAGUUCUUAAUAAUGUCAGUUGAGUUCAUCUGGAGAUGCAAAAGUGAACAAUGAACAUCAUAUAAGUAGCUAGUCAUGCAUGAAGAUGCGAUUGUAUUUAUACUUCUAUUGUGAAACAAAUAGUAAGACACUUUCUAUAAACUCCGAAGAGGCUUGUAACAUGUGUUUACGGAAGCACAUUAACCAGUCUGGCAUAUUCAGAUAUAUAAAAAACAAAUAAAUACCUGUACUGGAUGCAAUUGAAGAGAUUUUGCUCUUAGUGCAAGAUUGGCAAAUGAGACAUCGGUCGGGCAAGGAUUAAUGAUGACAACUAUAUAGGAAUAACUGGUAAAAUGAGAAAAAAAAUCGUCAUUCAAUUAAUGGUUCAGGUAUAUAUCAACAGAAAAAAGCAGCAGCACGGAAGCCUAAAGAUGGAUUAAAUUUACCCACAUUGGAUCCAAUUGAGAGAGCCCUGGAAUUCCCUGGUGGCCAUCUUCAAUGCUCAUUACUAUAAGUCCAGGAAUCCAUGAAGGACCAGUAUUAUGAAAUCGUACUCUUUCCUGGUGAAAGAUGUCAAUUUGUGACGUUGACACACAGAAGUACGUAAUUGCACAAUACUGAAGAAACAACAUACCCAGUGUAAUCUCACAAAUGAGGGUCUGGGGAGGGUGGUGUAGGCAGCCUUACCCCUACCUUGUGAAGAUAGAGAGGCUGUUUUGGAUAGACCCUCGGCACAAUACUGGAGAAAAAGUAGUCAAUAUUUUCAUUAGACUUCAUCGAUAUGUAUUUAAAUUCUAACCUGGAUAGCAUUGGCCGUCUUUAGCCGGAAGAGUGGUGAGGAGUAUCGUAUUUGCAUUAGAUUCAAAAAGUUUUCAACAGCUGCAAGGAUAUGACUCUUCUGAGGCUUGUAGGAUGGAUCUGCUAGUCUUGGUUUGAUUCUGAAAAUAAAAAAUUCAAAGAUGGAAGUACUUUUAGACGGGUUACAAAUAGGAAAACCAUCUUGAUUGUAUGUAUCAGAACUUCACCAAAGAACACAUGAACCUCACCCCACCCAACCACCCCACUGCCCCAAAGAGAAAAGUUCCAACUCUCUUUUUCUCAUGGAGGAAAUAUAAAGGUAAAGGGUAGUAAUGAAAUCACUAACAGUGGCCAGUUUCUUUCAUUCUUCUCUUUCGGAGGGAGGCCAACACCCCAGUUGUUAGAGUUGUAGCUAAAGUCCAGCCUGAAAAUAACAGUAUACAGACAUCCACUUUAUAAAGGAAAGCAUUAACUAGAACUAAAAGAAGAACAGUAAGAUUUAGGACCAGAAAAGACGUCAUUAAGUAAAGCAGAAAAUAAACAGUAAAAAGCAAGUCAUCUAAGAUUUUAAAUUAUCAACAGUCACUGAAGAAAGUAACUUGCAAAGGGAGAGGUGGUGGACCUGUUGAACCAAUCACCAGAGUUGUAAGAGUCACGAUCUAUCGAUUUUGAGCGCAACAUUUCAUCUCCAGCGUGGAAAAAUGGUAUUCCCUGUGAAAGGUUAGCAAGAUCAGUUCUGCAAGAUGAAGAAAACUCACAAUCAAACUCACUUAAAACUUAGCACGAUUAGUAUGUGUUUUACUUAAAUUAUCAUGCAAAUUAAAAUUACUACAUUGAGUUUGAUCUGUGUAGUUACCCUAUCAUCAACCAUAAACAUCAUACCUGUGUAUCUUUCUAUAGAAAAUUGAAAGAGGACUCAAAAGCAAUAAAACUUCAUUUCUUUUUUCUUUUUUGUGGAAACCUAUAACAUUCUCUUUCCGAGGCUCAUCACAAGGCAAAACAAAUAGAAUCUACAGCUUAGGGGUUACAGCAACACUAUAUAUGCCAUAAAGAUAAUAUCAUUAGCUAUCAUAUUCCUAACAACUGAUCAAGCAGAACAGGCAGUUUUGAUUCUAGCCUACUUGUGGUCCAGUUUCAUGUAAAAGAUUGGACCACAUUAUGCGUUCAAGUUUAUUACCACUAAUGGCACAAUCCCUAACUAAUAAAAACAGCUAUAUGAACCCUCUAUAUCCAUUUAGCUCCAUUUGGAUCCUUUCCGUUACAAUGCUCAAUAAUUUGUAUUUAAUACAGUUUAGGUUCUUUUACACCAGAGAUCCUCGAUCACAGUAGCGUCCUUGCGCUGGCAUGCAUAUCUCUAAAUAAAUUAAAAAAAAGAUCCUGCUCAACACCAGACUUAGUGCAAGUGUACCAAUACAACUUAGACUUUAAUUCCAACUAAUUGACAUCUUUAUUUGGAUCUAUUAAUUUCCAUUAUGUUCAAUUCUUCGUAAUUUUGUACAGAUUUCUAGAGAUUGAAGAUGUUAUGGUACAACUUCCAUUCUCUGUGAUUUUAGAUCUACCUAAUUCUCUUUAACGCUUUCAAUUGUUAUAAUGCCACACUAAUAGACUAGUGCAUUUGAAGGUUUACCUGGGAAAUUACCAAACCAUCUCAGGUGACCAUGUCUCGUCAUAUCCUCUAUUUGUGCUACUUGUAUAUUCUGUCAAAUGUGAUCAUUUUUAAUUUUAUAUAACGGUAGUUCAUUCUUAUUAUAGGUAAAAAUAUUAGUUAUAUGUAUUUCUACGACACUAAUUGUGUGGAUAUGUAAGGCCUCGGAGGCCCAACACUCACCCAUAUAAUCUUGUUAGUCUCAAACUGUUCUAUAGAACUUUGUCUUUUUUACUUCAGUAAGUAUCUUCCUAUCAACAUGACCCAAAAGUAAACGUAGAACAAAGAAGCUUUAACAAGAUUUUACUUGCAACAGUAUACCUGUAAAUAUACAUUAACAUACAGAAAGUAGGUAAAAAUUAAAGUAGGUACAUUAUUCUUCGAAGGAACAAACUGAAUCUGACCUGAGAAAGGGCUAUUACACUGGUCGCUAAGUGGUUCAUCCUGCAUCUCUCCUCCACAGAAAUGUCCUUUGGAGUCUAUCAAAGUGAAGCAACUAAUUGAUACAGGAAAAGAAACAAUGGAUGUAUAGGUUGCAUACUUGCAUAUUACCUACCAAGUUUCACACCGUGUGCCUUUGGUCUUCUAGUAUUUCUUGGUUAUCAAAAAAGAAAAAAAGAGGGCAUAUUGCAAGAGAAAAAAUUACCUUAAGACUAAUGAUGUCGAACAGUGUCUCAUUGUCAUGAGCAGACACGUAGUUAACCUGCAUAUAACAAAAGCAAUUACAUUGUUUUGGAAUGUAUUUCCAUGGAGAAUUAACUGGGAAAGAUGUCUGACAAGAUUGGGAUAGCGUUAACGAUGCAGUAGAUAUAGCUCUCACUGAAAUGAAGUUGUUCAAUCAUAAAUAACAAUAGACACAUAGUUCCUUACUGUUUCAACGGGAGAAGAAGCAUAUCCAACUGGCUUCCUGUCAUGCAUGAGUACUUCAGAUCCUUUAACCUGGGUAAGAAGAGUAUACAGUACUCAACAUAUCUCCAGUGUCGAGUUAUGUUUGUACAUUCUAAAAGAUAAACUUUCAGUUCAGCUUGAAAUGUGGUCCUCUGUGAAACUUGCCUUAGGCAAAUCCGACUUCAGAAAGGGAGGCCUGUGAGGGUGAGUUUAAGGCGGUCUUAAUCUAAAUGCAUCUAUUGAAUAUUUCACUUGAGAACAAUUUGCAGCUGGUAGUAUUUUUCAUUAGUUUCUACUUCUAAGACUGAAGUUUUAUUUCAAAAGACGAUUCAUGCAAAUGCAUUCCACGUGGAUUUCUGGUCGGAUCGACCCUUAGUUAGACCAAAAUGAUUAUCUUUUUGGGGCAUUGGAAGUAGUUAAUACAUGCAUUUAUUUAGCUGGGCAAACUUAACACACUUUAUGGUAAAGUUGUCAUUGACAUAAUUAGUUCAUGACCUUUGCAGUCAAAUGUAGAAUGAAGGCUGGGAAAAAUGCAUCUGGGACAUGGAAAAAAAACUCUAUGCCCCUGCCUGUCGACAUAAACCAAAAAGCACGCAGCUUUGACAGAACUACAAAUAUAACACUUGGUAUGACACACCAUUCACAAACAAACCAAAACAGUUCUAAUUUGUUUUUGCAGUAUCAAAAGCAUGUGAUAAAAAGGAUAGCAGAUCAAGCUAAUAAGAUGAAAAAUAUGAUUAAAUUGGUCAACAAUAUUAGAUUUUGAUAAAUUGGACCAAACCUACUUAUUUAAUAGUAAGCCCUAAUACAUCAUAAAAGUUUUGUUUGGCUUAUUGGCUAAUAAACCUAUCAAAGAAACAAUAGGUACAAGAGUAUCGACUUUCUUAAUUGCCUUGGUGAUUAGAAAUGAAUAGUAAUAAUUAUCUUAUAACUUCAAUCGCAAUGAUCAUCAGAAAUGAACAGUAAUAAUUAUCUUAUAACUUCAAUUGUAAUGAGUUGCAAUGUCAUUGUGAUGUGAACAUGACGCAAAGCAAAUAGCAGUCGAAUCUAUGGAUACCUCUUGACCAUCACAGUUCGUUAGCACAAAAUCCUUUAAGUUUGCAGCCAUGCCAACCUGAAAAGUAAACAUGCUCUUUGAUAAGAAAGAAUAACUUAAGAAAUAUUUAUGUCAUGCAACUGGAGUAGGGCAGAGUACCUGAAUGUGAUCCUUCGACACAGUAAGCAUACGUUCUACAUUGGCUUUAUCACCAAGAUCAUGACCGUUAGGCUGAAGAGCAGCAUGUACAAGUUACUGAGACUGUGAUUAUUCAUAUUUUUAGAAAAAUGGCAGGAAUUUAUCACAAACUUUAUAUUUCCAAGUGCCGAAGAGUUUUAUCAUUACCUCCGAAUAAAGGCCAGUUACAAAACCUUGAUGUAGAGGAUGACCAAAAGGUGAUCCGCCCAGUAAAGCAUCCCGAAUACGAUCAUUGAAGCUAGUAACGAAUCAAGAACAGAUAGUGAGGAAAAUACUUUAAGAUAGCUUCAAGAGAUGAAUAGAAUAGGGACAAGGAAAUAUUCCCGUUUAAGCCUAUGAGCUCUUGAAAGCAUUAUCCCACAGUAGCUGGAAUUAUGUCAUCUUCUUUAUUGUUAAAGCUUCAAUUUGCAAUUUAUUAUUGGCUCAUAAGAAGAGUAAUUUACAUGCAGACAUACAAGGAAUAGGAAAUCAUCUUCGUUUGACAAACAAAUCGAAAUAACUCAGAAGUAGCACCUCCCAAUUCCAGCUCCAAAAAGGUUAAAUUGUGAUGCAUUUAUCCCACGUCCAUUCUUUGCCACUUCACCAAAAUCCCAUCCUUCACCAUAUCUGAAUUGAAAAUAGCAUUAAGAAUCAACUGAUAAAAAGGAAACAGAGAAUCAAUGUAAUAUUCAAGAAGAACUAAAAGUACCUAUAUUAUCAUGGGCACAAAAGAUGUAAUAAGGAUAUCUUUUUUAAGAUUUAAAAGCCUACAAAAGACUACUAUAAAACAUACAUAUCUAGUAAUAAGGAUUGAUCGUCAAUGGUAACAGUCCUUACAUAUAAAUGCUUGAUCCAUCCACACCAUUUUCUUCUGUUGACAAGCUAUUCAGAAAUGACUUUGCCUUCAACUACAUCCAAAGACACGGCGAUCAUAGAGUUAGCACACUUAGCUUUGAGCACCAAUAAUUUUUAAAGAACCAAUUAAUCAAGAAUUUGAACACACAAGGAACAUAAUUAACUAUCAUCUUAUUUAUAGCUAUACUAACUACUGAAAUGCACAAAUAAGUGUUGUCCUACUCAGACGAUUGGCAGCAAGUAGACAUGCCUACAACCUGAGUAAUCAUGUUAGCCUGUGCAUGUCAACAUUGUUAUGUGACAUCAUAAUUUUCGUAUAAAGAUGUCAAUUGGAUAUGGGUUAAUCAUAAAACUGCAUAAAGUAAAACAAUUUAAAUAAAAAAUCAAACCAUAAACAAGUAAAAAAGAAAAUCCUCUUUUAGAUUUCAAGAAAACAGACUCUUUAAUUCCUGUCUAAGAUUAAACCCAAUACACUCAGGUCGUUUUACUUAUGUUAGACAAGGUCACUGCAAAACAAUAAUCUCCCGCCUAUAAAACCACAGAUCACCUGAAAGAUGCAAGCAGUGACCUAGAAAAUUACUUACAACAUAAAUUAUUUAACAUCAACAUCAACAACGACAACAUACUCAUUGUAAUCCCACAAGUGUGUAUGUAUAUGUAUAUAUAUAUAUAUAUUACUACCUAUAUUAUCCAUGUCCUUAAUAUAAAAUUUUAAUGCAUUUUCAUUGGACCCACAGUUACUCUUUGAAACACAAUCUUUCCUCUAUGCUAUUCUUCAAAAACAUCAAGGUUUAUAUACGGCCAACGUGUGCUGAAGCAAAUAUGCCAGGACCCAUCAUUUUAAUGUUUUCUAUCUCCAUGUCAAGUCAGAUGGGCCUAUCAAAUUGGGACAGAAGGAGUAAUUAGAACUGGGACUCAAAUAUUAGGUCCCCAGGGGAUAAUAAUCUCUCUGCUUAAUUUAUCUUGAUCUUUUUCUCCAUGAGCUUUAUGCUAACAAGAGAUAUCCCAAUUCUGAGAGGAAGAUCCACUGGUAACUACUAGCACCGUAUGAUACUUGCAACAGCCUAAAAUAUAGAGAACUGGCUUCUCAACUUUUUAGCCUUCACUUAUCUUUCCAUCUCAUGCAUAUAACUUGUACCAAAAACCACAGGAAGCGUUAUCUUGUAAAAUUUCAUCUACAACUGGAAAAACUAAUAAGAAAUAAUUACUGCGUAGCAUUCUGCCUUCCUAAACGAACGAAUGGAGAAAACUUUCUCUAACCCACAAAAGGAAAAGCUUUAAAUACUUACCAUUGUACGCUUCAUUAUGUGACCCAUCAGGUCAAACCGAAAUCCAUCAAUCUGCAGAAGACAAACAAGGUUUACUCAUAUAUUCUCUUUCGGAGAAGAAUAGGAAUUCUUACUCAAGGACAAAAGCAUCGGUGUGUACACACAUACAGAACUCAAAAUGGAAUAUGUGACAUCAAUUAUGUGAAUUAAGUAAGAUAAAGUUAACUAACUUUAUUAGUUAUGAGUUGGUUUGGCAUAUAAUAGAGUAAACAUUAACUUCUGUAUUUCUUGAGAAAAUCACUUAGUAACUGUUUUAGGCAUUUGCCAUGUUCAGUCAUCAACAUCAAGAACACAAAGCAUGGUUUCGGUGCGAUAUUUGAGAAAUACAAACUGUUUAUGGAACCAUUAAAUCAAUGAACUGCCCCAUCUAAAAGAUCAAACUGUUAGAGAGGAGACACAUCUAUUGAUUUACUUAGGUCUUCCACAUGUCCGCGUGAAAUAGUUUAUUGUUAGGUAGCGUUAAGACUUGAACUCAAGACCUUCGAGGCUCUUUCCACUCUGAUGCCAUUUUGAAAAGUUUAAACUGUUAGAUGGAGACACUUUUUAUUUGUUUAGGUCUUCAACAGAGCCUUUGGGAGGUAUACCUGUUGUUUCUGAUAGUUUAAACAAUUAAAGUGGAAAUGACACAAAAAGUUGCUUAACAGGCAGUUACGUCCACCACCAGAAAAUCAAGGAACUAUUAUACCAUUUAGCACUAGCAAGUAUUUUCUUGUGCUAAUUAAUGACUAGAUAUGAUAUAUUAGUCAAUCAAUUAUCAGAAGCCCAUUUCAUUUCACAGAAAAAUAUAUCAUUUUAAGAGCCUCCUGUCGUACGUGAACUCAUAGGUAGCAUAAAAGGCAUCAGUUUCUACUGGGAUUAUGGUUCCACGGUUUCUGAAUUUAAUUCCAUUUCAAGUACUUUUGCAUGCUCGAGAUUAGUAACUAAAGUCACAUGUCAGACAUUCUCUAAGUUGAGUUACCAGGUUUGGAGACUCGGUCCGUCAGUCGUGACAUCUAUACAGUAUAAUAUUGCAAUGCUGGACUUUAAAACUAAAGCUUCUCAUCAUUAUAAACUCCUAUAGAAACAAAUCUGAAGGUGCUCCUAUUUCUCAUGCUUAAAAUGGCGAAGAAGUUCAGAGUUUUUAACAUUACAGUUGGAUUACGAUAUUCAAUGCAAGAGUUCCUAGCUUUGGACUUCCCACAAAUAAAAUUGAUCUGGAGCUUACAGAGGUAUCAUUUGCUGGAAGACAAGCAGUCUAACUUAUGGUAUAGCAAUCCACAUUCAUAUCCCGUCUGAUCUUUUAAUUUCAAAAGGUCUUGAUAACAAUUACAUUUGACAAUCUCCUUUAUCUUUAAAAAGCCAAUCUCGAAAGGUAACAUAACAAUUAUGGGUCUUAUAAAAAUUAAAAUACUAAAACAGCAAAGUAGAGGUUAUUAAUAAACUACAUACAUUCACAGUCCCUAAAAUAUGACUACGCAGGCCAUAGCUUUAAACAGAAUAUUCAGCCAAACAAAACAAGAAGAAACCAUAAAACAGAAGAAAAGAAUUUAGGCUCUACAAUUACCAUAUCUUAGCAAUUGCGUUCGAGGGUGGAGGGAAGCAUACCUUAUAAUGGACUGCCCAGCACUUGAGGUCGUCAAGAAUUAAGCGUUCAACCAUGAAAUGCUCACUGGCGGUAUUGUUUACGCAUGUGCUGUUUUCAAUGCCACCAUCAGCAUUUCUCCUUAGAAAGUAACCUGGAACGAUCUAUUGAAAGCAAACCCAAUACAAAAUAUGUAUAAGGAGACCAAGUUAAUUAUAAGGCUAUAACCAUAAAGUUUAACGAGGUGGAACACAAUAAUUCGUCACCUUGUCUAGAACAGAGAAGUCACUAAAUGGACCGCUUGCAUGUAAAUGAUUGUAAACAACAUCCAAUACAACACGUAGACCAAUACGAUUAAGUGCCUGUAAACCAAUUAAGCCUUAGAGUGGCGCCAAGGGAAUUGAACAAUAUAGGUCGAUGGUCUAUUCAGUAUAAACAGAAAGGUUGAUGGUAUAUUUAGUAUAAACAUAAGAAUGCACAACAAAGUUGGAUCUUUAGAUAAAAUAAGAUCUACCUGCACCAUUUUCCGAAACUCGACGAUACGACAAGGACCAUUUGCAUUACUUGCGUAGCUUCCUUUUGGAACUCCCCAGAGAACAGGAUUAUACCUUUUCUUAGGCAGCCAACAAUUCAAUUUUCACACACUGGCCAGGAAACUACAAUCAGCUUAGACACAAGUUGAAACUCUAAGCACAGUAUCUCACCCCCAAUUAUAGCCAUCUUCAUCUUGGAUGGCUGUGAUAAGAGCUUGCUGCUCCUCAGAAUCUGGUGGAAAAGAGUUGAGUUUCUCGAUAUCUGAUAAAUACAUCACAUGAGAGACCAGGAAACAAAAAUGAAUGAGAUGAGAUUCCAAGGGAAAACCCAAAAAGGCAAUUAACAACCUCAUCAUAAAAUCUAGAACAGACAUGGCACUAAACUAAUCUGAAUAUUUCUAUCUUUAGCUAAUUAUCCACUCUGUCAUGGUAUCAUGUGACAAAACAGCAGAUCUGGUUUGAGAGAAUUAAGUCCCUCGUUUUGGUCUUUUAUUGCGUUAUUUUCAAAUUACCAACUUCAGCUUCAUUUAUAAUUUGUGCUGAAAAGAAAGGAGAACAAAAGAAAUACUAAAAUCUUUAAUGGGGAACCCCCUCUCCAAACUGAAAAAAAGUUGAAGAGCUUUACCUGUAUACUUCCAUUUAUGUUUCUCAUCUUCGACACCAGCAAACUGAUAGGUUGGCAGCAGAUGGACAUGAGUGAUACCAGCAUUUGAUAAUCUUUUCAAAUGUUGGACACCAGCUGAGUCCUUCAAGAAUAAUGAGAUCAGGGACACAUGCUUAUGGGACAUAUCCAAUGCCACCUAACUUAUGUGCGACAAAACCUUCUAAUGCAUUGUGCCAUUGUGUUAACUGUGGGUGCUGGCUUAGAUGUUUCCAUUAACCAUUAUUUAAAAGCUUGUAUAACUAACACAAAAUCAGAUAGCUAAUACAGCACUUAAAACCUGGUCGUGGAUACUCUCUAACAACAUGGAAUAAAAAAGUGCUGCUAUAAAGCAUAAAGCACAAAUAAAUGAACAGAAUGAAGGAGUGACACUUGUUUGACUUGCAAACUGAUGCCAGACUAGUUGUCAAAAUUCAAAAAAAUGCACCAAUCGGCUACCAAAUUGGGCCGAACUUUUGUGAUGAGCUAGGUAACGAAGCCUAAAAUGAGACACUUAUAUGUUCUGUUGGUUUAAAGAACUCCCCAAGUUUUAUUUCCUAAAAGGUGUUGACAACAACUUAUAAGACCAAGCCCAGGUUGCAAGGUUCAGAUUCUUCGGGUUUCGCCUUAGAUUUAGUUGUCUCUGGUGGAGGAGUAACCUUUGUUGUAAUUCUUGCUAGAACUUGGUAACAUUACCAUUAAUGGCUUAUCACAAAUAGUACAUUAGACAGUAAUAGUUCUGAAUACUUCUUACUGAUAACUUCAUAAUAAUAUUAGGGAACCCCGAUCACUAAGACCUUCUGGCUCAAUACAAGAAUGAGGAAGCUAAUAUGUCCCGUGAAAGUGAGGACUUAAUCAUUUCUCAUGGAAAUUCGACAGGGAAGUUAUUAACAAGAAUGAGAGAAUUCGUUUCUUUUGGAGAAGUGUAUCUCUAUGUGUGGACGCGCUUCUGCGCAUGUGUGUGCGUCCUCACUACAAAUCUCAAAUACACCAUGAGAUCGGUGUACCAAUCUAAAUCACCAUUCCUCUCCAACCACCGUCCAUCAUUGGUUGCACCACCCAUCACACACUACAAAGUUAUCGGGUAGACUACUAUAGCAGUCUUUUUCCAGCCACUUCAAAUUGUAUGUUCUGCCAUAAACACACUUAGUAUACCAAUGAGUUGUAGUCCAGUGUAAGUUUACCAUCUACAAAGCUCAAAUCUCAGUAGGAUACGAAGCAAAUGAAGACAUGAAAUACCUUGCUCAAUACACCUAUUUACUAAAAGCUUGAACUCUGGUCCCAAAAACUAUACACCCAUAUAAAACAAAUCAAACAGAAAAGUAAAGCUACCUGUGACGUGAAGGCGAGAUAACCGCCCUGAAAUUCAUGAGGCACAGUAGGGUCAUUGGCGCUGGCAAAGUGAAAAUCAUAGGUAAAAAGAUAAGUGUUCUAUAGUACUGCUAAUUAUGCAUCUUGAUUAUAUAUGCAUUACAAGCUUCUUCUCUUGUAAAGUGAACUGCUUGAAACAUGUUAUCUAAGGAAAUGAGUAAAGAGUCAAACCGAUGUUGUAGGAGCAAAUGGAGAAUAUUGACCAAUAUUCAGUAAGAUUUUUCCAAUAAGAAAUUAACAUAGCAAGAUCACUUAUCACCUGAAAUCUCUAACAUGCAGCUCAUAGAUGCUAACAUCAGAAAAGGAAAGAAGAUUUGGCUUCUCGUCUUGUAGAUUAUCCCAGCCUUCAGGCUUUACAUCAUCAGAAUCAAGAUUAACUAACAAUGUCCGCUUGCCAUCAGCAGAGAGACUGUCCAUGCAAAAGCAA
rnacentral:lncRNA from 1 species